UUCCAGCUCAUUUCAUUUUGAGUUGCUCCCUAAGCUGUUCAGUUUAUUAAUUUGUUUACGUUUUUAAUACCAGAACUUCGGAGUAUAAGUAAUUUCGCUUUUAGUUAGUAAGCGGAUUGAAAAUAAAAGGUUGUUACAAGUGCCACACCUAGGUUGAUACAGCAAUUGUCUAAUGCUUUUAAAUUAGUUGUUUAAAAUUUAAAUAGGGAAAAUGGUUGUUUUGGAGUCGUGCUGGUCGCCAAUCAUUUGGUCCAACUCUGUAAAGACUGGAAGUUAUGCUGUUGCAGUAUACACCGCGGCUUUAUCGGUGGUACUAAUCACAUUGAUUUCUUACAUGCUGACCGGAGGAGAAUCAGCUCAACUUUAUUCUCCACUUUUUGAAAGCGAUAUAAGAUAUUCAAUGCCUGUUUAUGGCAGUAUAUUUAUAUUCUACUUUCUACUAUUAAUUGCCGCAUCGUACAUGGUGUAUUAUGGUAUAAGGAUAAGCACCAGAGGUUGGCUCUUACCUUGGCUCAUUUUAGCAGGUAUUGGAAUUUUAUUUCAAUUUGUAUGGGGGCUGUGGCUCAUUGGUGGCUACUAUAUUUACCUCGAACAAACGUUCUCCGCUCUAUUGAACUUCUGUUGGACGGCAUACAAUAACGCUGUAUUCCUGUCUCAGAAAUGUUAUGUUCUAAAAAAUCAAUAUUCGUAACACCGAAAAUACAUUUGUUUGGUUUGAUAUUAAGACCGUACUCAGCUAAACGUUGAAAAAGCACAUGAAGAUCCUUAACAUGCUGUUCUUCAUUUUCAAUUGCAAUAAGAAGAUCGUCAAUAUACGCAAAGACAAAUUCGAAAUUGUUAACUACUUCAUUGAUGAACCUUUCAAACGUUUGUGCCGAAUUUCUAAGCCCGAAAGGCAUUCGGGUGAACUCAAACAUGCCAAAAGGAAUAUGAGGCAAGGGGUAACGAUCCGGUACAGUCACAAUAUUAAGUCUUCUAAAAUCACCGCAAGGACGCCAAUCAUUAACUUCUUCCUUUGGUACUAAAUGAAGUGGGGAAGCUACCAAGGAGUUUGAAGGUCUACAAAUUCCUGAUUUAAUUAAAAAAUCAAACUCACGUUUAGCAACUUGAUACUUUAUGGGAUCUAAGCGCCUUGGCUUAGAAAAUGGAAGGUUUCCUACUGUAUCAAGUCGAUGUGCCGUUGAAUGCCUAACAGCAAAAAUGUUUGGAAGGGGAACCGAACAAAAGAAGGAAAUCGCAUUAACCGAAAGAUUAGUAAGCGGAUCUACUAAUCGUUUGUGUCUAAUAUCAAUUAAAAGACCGAAUUUGCAAAAAAAUCUGCACCUAUAAUAUGUUUCACAAUAUCAACUAUUAAAAAUGUGAAUGAGAAUUCCCGUCUUAAUACUAAAUUAACAUUUAAAAGCUUUUUUCCGAAGGUUGAAAUUACUGAACCGUUAGCUGCCGUUAAAACAAUAUCCGCAGAUUUUUUUGUACAUCGAAAUCUAGAAACCGGAAGUACUGAAAUCUCAGCACCACUAUCAACUAAAAAAUUUAAAUUGUUCUGUUUAUCAAAAAUAAAGAGGCGACGUGUAGAAAACUCUAUAUUUUCGUU
rnacentral:misc_RNA from 1 species